AACUGAUACUACCUGCGGGAACCUGCGGAGGGAUCAUUGCUGAAUAUACUACUUGAUGGGUUGUAGCUGGCCUCUAGGGGCAUGUGCACGCCUGUCUUGCUUCUAUUCAUCCACCUGUGCACUCUUUGUAGUCUUCAAAGUCUGAAAAAGCAAAGCCAAAUUGUCAGUUGAAAGACUGGAUUUAGAGGAUUGUCUUAAUAUGACUUUCCUUAGCAUUAGGCCGCUCAUCUUCUUUGAAGU
rnacentral:misc_RNA from 1 species